UCUCCGUUGGUGAACCAACGGAGGGAUCAUUACCGAGUGCAAACUCAUAACCCUUUGUGAACCUAUAUCUGUUGCUUCGGCGGCUCGCUCUCGGGCGAGCCCGCCGGUAAUAUCAGUAUCUCUGUUUGAACCCGACGAUACUUCUGAGUGUUCUUAGCGAACAGUUAAAACUUUUAACAACGGAUCUCUUGGCUCUA
rnacentral:misc_RNA from 1 species